GGAGUUAGCCGGUGCUUCUUCUGUGAGUGAUGUCCUUCCUGCCGGCUAUUAACCCGCAGGCCUUCUUCCUCACUGAAAGUGCUUUACAACCCGAAGGCCUUCUUCACACACGCGGCAUGGCUGGAUCAGGGUUGCCCCCAUUGUCCAAUAUUCCCCACUGCUGCCUCCCGUAGGAGUCUGGGCCGUGUCUCAGUCCCAGUGUGGCUGAUCAUCCUCUCAGACCAGCUACGGAUCGUCGCCUUGGUGAGCCGUUACCUCACCAACCAGCUAAUCCGACAUAGGCUCAUCCGAUAGCGCGAGGCCCGAAGGUCCCCCGCUUUCCCCCGUAGGGCGUAUGCGGUAUUAGCCUGGGUUUCCCCAGGUUAUCCCCCACUACCGGGCAGAUUCCUAUGCAUUACUCACCCGUCCGCCGCUCGCCACCAGGGAGCAAGCUCCCCGUGCUGCCGCUCGACUUGCAUGUGUUAGGCCUGCCGCCAGCGUUCAAUCUGAGCCAAAUCAAACUCUGA
rnacentral:rRNA from 1 species